AUGGCUCAGGAUGAACGCUGGCGGCGUGCUUAACACAUGCAAGUCGAACGGUGAAGGCGGAGCUUGCUCUGCCGGAUCAGUGGCGAACGGGUGAGUAACACGUGAGCAACCUGCCCCGGACUCUGGGAUAACAGUUGGAAACAGCUGCUAAUACCGGAUACGAGCUGCGAAGGCAUCUUCAGCAGCUGGAAAGAAUUUCGGUCUGGGAUGGGCUCACGGCCUAUCAGCUAGUUGGUGAGGUAAUGGCUCACCAAGGCGUCGACGGGUAGCCGGCCUGAGAGGGUGACCGGCCACACUGGGACUGAGACACGGCCCAGACUCCUACGGGAGGCAGCAGUGGGGAAUAUUGCACAAUGGGCGAAAGCCUGAUGCAGCAACGCCGCGUGAGGGACGACGGCCUUCGGGUUGUAAACCUCUUUUAGCAGGGAAGAAGCGAAAGUGACGGUACCUGCAGAAAAAGCACCGGCUAACUACGUGCCAGCAGCCGCGGUAAUACGUAGGGUGCAAGCGUUAUCCGGAAUUAUUGGGCGUAAAGAGCUCGUAGGCGGUUUGUCGCGUCUGCUGUGAAAUCUGGGGGCUCAACCCCCAGCCUGCAGUGGGUACGGGCAGACUAGAGUGCGGUAGGGGAGAUUGGAAUUCCUGGUGUAGCGGUGGAAUGCGCAGAUAUCAGGAGGAACACCGAUGGCGAAGGCAGAUCUCUGGGCCGUAACUGACGCUGAGGAGCGAAAGGGUGGGGAGCAAACAGGCUUAGAUACCCUGGUAGUCCACCCCGUAAACGUUGGGAACUAGUUGUGGGGUCCAUUCCACGGAUUCCGUGACGCAGCUAACGCAUUAAG
rnacentral:rRNA from 4 species